rnacentral:rRNA from 1 species
UAGGGAAUCUUUCGCAAUGGACGCAAGUCUGACGGAGCAACGCCGCGUGAGUGAAGAAGGAUUUCGGUUCGUAAAACUCUGUUGUUAGAGAAGAACAGCGUAUAGAGUAACUGUUAUGCGUGUGACGGUAUCUAACCAGAAAGCCACGGCUAACUACGUGCCAGCAGCCGCGGUAAUACGUAGGUGGCAAGCGUUGUCCGGAUUUAUUGGGCGUAAAGCGAGCGCAGGCGGUCAAUUAAGUCUGAUGUGAAAGCCCCCGGCUCAACCGGGAAGGGUUAGUGGAAGCGGGUUGACUUGGGUGCAGAAGAGGAGAGUGGAAUUCCAUGUGUGGCGGUGAAAGGCGUAGAUAUAUGGAGGAACGCCAGUGGCGAAGGGGACUCUCGGGUCUGUUAAUGACGCGGGGGCUCGAAAGCGUGGGUAGCAAACAGG